GCGAGUGUGGUGGAAUUGGUAGACACACAGGACUUAAAAUCCUGAGACCAGCAAUGGUCGUGAGGGUUCAAGUCCCUCCACUCGCA
rnacentral:tRNA from 8 species